UACGUAGGGGGCAAGCGUUGUCCGGAAUCAUUGGGCGUAAAGCGCGCGCAGGCGGAUCAGCAAGUCAGAUGUGAAAUCUCGAAGCUCAACUUCGAAACUGCGUCUGAAACUGCUAGUCUAGAAUGUCGGAGGGGGCAGGGGAAUUUCACGUGUAGGGGUAAAAUCCGUAGAGAUGUGAAGGAACACCGGAGGCGAAGGCGCCUGCCUGGACGACUAUUGACGCUGAGGCGCGAAAGCGUGGGGAGCAAACAGG
rnacentral:rRNA from 1 species